CUUUUAAAUCAACGAUCUUGCAGUUAAUCGAGGAUCGAAGGUAGACGUGACGGGCCACGCGACCAAAUCUUUUCGGAGGAUCGGUCGGAUCGUCGAGUCGUGCGUCGAUCGAACUGGUCGGUGAAAGAGGAAAAAGAAAAAUACAGACCGCUACUGGUACGCGCGGUAAAUCCGUUAUCCUAAAGCCAAGGUCCACGAUACACUGUGUAUAUCCGAUCGGGAGCGUGCUGCUUGUUCGAAGUUCACGCGAACGUUGGCUAUUAUCCUGCCGCGGACAGUUCCUUUUCGUCGAAGGAUCACAAUAAUUUUCUACCGUACAACUUUGAGAACAUUUAAAUCGGCCGAACCCUCCGGAACACGUACGUGUAUCCGUAGCACUUACAUAUAUUUACAUCGAAUUAACCUCGGUCAACCUGAGUGGAAACAGGUUGCUUUCCCGUAAUAAUUAUUACACCACUCGAAUUAUAAUUAUUAAUUCCGUACACUGAUUCGAUCGUUCGUCUAAUUAAUUCCGUGCAUUAAUUGACCGCCAUGCUGACACGGAGACGCGUUCACAGAGAUCGAUUGCGUUCAAGCCAAAAAGGAUUACGAGAAGUAUCUUUAAAUUGCUCUUAGUCGUAUCAUUCGAAUUGAAUUAAAUAUACGUCUUGGAACUUUUUCACUCGUCUUUUUCCCCUAAGAAUCUUUCUGAUUAAUGUAGAUAUCAAUUAGGCGCGUGAAUUGAGCCCCGAGAUUGUAAAUUGUUAAAUUAGCUACUGGUUUUGUGUAGCCUAAUGCGAAUAAAUUAAUUAAUCUUAUAACUGUUACAGUAAUUAAUAAUAGUUUCAAAAUAAUUUCGUUUCGCUGGUUGACGAGAUAAAAUAUAUGUUUCCUGCAUGAUUACGAUAAUGAUUUAUCAAGCGAAAUAUGGUUUGUAUCUAUGUAUAGCCGCUUGUUUCGUUUUGUAAUAUAAAUGUAGCACAAGUACAAGUAUACUUACUACGUGCUGUAUGAGGUAUAUCGAUAUCGUUAGUAGUUGUUAGAUUGUGUACGU